UACGAAGGGGGCUAGCGUUGCUCGGAAUUACUGGGCGUAAAGCGCACGUAGGCGGAUCCUUAAGUCGGGGGUGAAAUCCUGGAGCUCAACUCCAGAACUGCCUUCGAUACUGAGGAUCUCGAGUCCGGGAGAGGUGAGUGGAACUGCGAGUGUAGAGGUGAAAUUCGUAGAUAUUCGCAAGAACACCAGUGGCGAAGGCGGCUCACUGGCCCGGUACUGACGCUGAGGUGCGAAAGCGUGGGGAGCAAACAGG
rnacentral:rRNA from 1 species